rnacentral:tRNA from 1 species
GGGCCAGUAGUGUAUCUGGUGAGCACACCGUGUUUGACACUCGGUGGAACGGGUUCGAUUCCCGUCUGGUCCA